rnacentral:lncRNA from 1 species
GAUAGCUGCUGCUGCUGCUGCAGCAGCUGCAGCAGCAGCAGGAGCAGCAGCAGCAGCAGCAGCAGGAGCAGGAGCAGGAGCAGGAGCAGGAGCAGGAGCAGGAGCAGGAGCAGGAGCAGGAGCAGGAGCAGGAGCAGUAGCAGGAGCAGUAGCAGUAGCAGUAGCAGUAGCAGUAGCAGUAGCAGUAGCAGUAGCAGUAGCAGUAGCAGUAGCAGUAGCAGUAGCAGUAGCAGUAGCAGUAGCAGUAGCAGUAGCAGUAGCAGUAGCAGUAGCAGUAGCAGUAGCAGUAGCAGUAGCAGUAGCAGUAGCAGUAGCAGUAGCAGUAGCAGUAGCAGUAGCAGUAGCAGUAGUAGUAG